GGUGAGUAAUAUAUCGGAACGUGCCCAGUCGUGGGGGAUAACGCAGCGAAAGCUGUGCUAAUACCGCAUACGAUCUACGGAUGAAAGCGGGGGAUCGCAAGACCUCGCGCGAUUGGAGCGGCCGAUAUCAGAUUAGCUAGUUGGUGGGGUAAAAGCCCACCAAGGCGACGAUCUGUAGCUGGUCUGAGAGGACGACCAGCCACACUGGAACUGAGACACGGUCCAGACUCCUACGGGAGGCAGCAGUGGGGAAUUUUGGACAAUGGGCGCAAGCCUGAUCCAGCAAUGCCGCUUGCAGGACGAAGGCCUUCGGGUUGUAAACUGCUUUUGUACGGAACGAAACGGCGAGCUCUAAUAAAGUUCGCUAAUGACGGUACCGUAAGAAUAAGCACCGGCUAACUACGUGCCAGCAGCCGCG
rnacentral:rRNA from 1 species